GAUGAACGCUGGCGGCGUGCCUAAUACAUGCAAGUCGAGCGAAUGGAUUAAGAGCUUGCUCUUAUGAAGUUAGCGGCGGACGGGUGAGUAACACGUGGGUAACCUGCCCAUAAGACUGGGAUAACUCCGGGAAACCGGGGCUAAUACCGGAUAACAUUUUGAACCGCAUGGUUCGAAAUUGAAAGGCGGCUUCGGCUGUCACUUAUGGAUGGACCCGCGUCGCAUUAGCGAGUUGGUGAGGUAACGGCUCACCAAGGCAACGAUGCGUAGCCGACCUGAGAGGGUGAUCGGCCACACUGGGACUGAGACACGGCCCAGACUCCUACGGGAGGCAGCAGUAGGGAAUCUUCCGCAAUGGACGAAAGUCUGACGGAGCAACGCCGCGUGAGUGAUGAAGGCUUUCGGGUCGUAAAACUCUGUUGUUAGGGAAGAACAAGUGCUAGUUGAAUAAGCUGGCACCUUGGCGGUACCUAACCAGAAAGCCACGGCUAACUACGUGCCAGCCGCCGCUGUAA
rnacentral:rRNA from 1 species